rnacentral:rRNA from 1 species
UACGUAGGGGGCAAGCGUUGUCCGGAAUGACUGGGCGUAAAGGGUGUGUAGGCGGUUGUCAAGUUAGGAGUGAAAUACCCGGGCUUAACUCGGGUGCUGCUUUUAAGACUGGCAGACUUGAGUGCAGGAGAGGCUAUCGGAAUUCCUAGUGUAGCGGUAGAAUGCGUAGAUAUUAGGAAGAACACCGGAGGCGAAGGCGGAUAGCUGGCCUGUAACUGACACUGAGACACGAAAGUGUGGGGAGCAAACAGG